AUUGAACGCUGGCGGCAGGCCUAACACAUGCAAGUCGAACGGUAACAGGAAGAAGCUUGCUUCUUUGCUGACGAGUGGCGGACGGGUGAGUAAUGUCUGGGAAACUGCCUGAUGGAGGGGGAUAACUACUGGAAACGGUAGCUAAUACCGCAUAACGUCGCAAGACCAAAGAGGGGGACCUUCGGGCCUCUUGCCAUCGGAUGUGCCCAGAUGGGAUUAGCUAGUAGGUGGGGUAACGGCUCACCUAGGCGACGAUCCCUAGCUGGUCUGAGAGGAUGACCAGCCAGUCUGGAACUGAGACACGGUCCAGACUCCUACGGGAGGCAGCAGUGAGGAAUAUUGCACAAUGGGCGCAAGCCUGAUGCAGCCAUGCCGCGUGUAUGAAGAAGGCCUUCGGGUUGUAAAGUACUUUCAGCGGGGAGGAAGGGAGUAAAGUUAAUACCUUUGCUCAUUGACGUUACCCGCAGAAGAAGCACCGGCUAACUCCGUG
rnacentral:rRNA from 1 species